CCUACGGGUGGCAGCAGUGGGGAAUAUAGCACAAUGGGGGAAACCCUGAUGCAGCGACGCCGCGUGAAGGAAGAAGUAUUUCGGUAUGUAAACUUCUAUCAGCAGGGAAGAAAAUGACGGUACCUUACUAAGAAGCCCCCGCUAACUACGUGCCAGCAGCCGCGGUAAUACGUAGGGGGCAAGCGUUAUCCGGAUUUACUGGGUGUAAAGGGAGCGUAGGCGGGUUGGCAAGUCAGGAGUGAAAGCCCGGGGCUCAACGCCGGGACUGCUUUUGAAACUGGUGAACUAGAGUGCAGGAGAGGUAAGUGGAAUUCCAAGUGUAGCGGUGAAAUGCGUAGAUAUUAGGAGGAACACCAGUGGCGAAGGCGGCUUACUGGAAUGUAAAUGACGCUGAGGCUCGAAAGCGUGGGGAGCAAACAGGAUUAGAUACCCUUGUAGUC
rnacentral:rRNA from 1 species